AGCAGCCGCCGCGGUAAUACGGAGGGUGCAAGCGUUAUCCGGAUUUAUUGGGUUUAAAGGGUCCGUAGGCGGAUCUGUAAGUCAGUGGUGAAAUCUCACAGCUUAACUGUGAAACUGCCAUUGAUACUGCAGGUCUUGAGUAAAUUUGAAGUGGCUGGAAUAAGUAGUGUAGCGGUGAAAUGCAUAGAUAUUACUUAGAACACCAAUUGCGAAGGCAGGUCACUAAGAUUUAACUGACGCUGAUGGACGAAAGCGUGGGGAGCGAACAGGAUUAGAUACCCCCGUAGUCCCUGUCUCUUAUAC
rnacentral:rRNA from 1 species